rnacentral:rRNA from 1 species
GACGAACGCUGGCGGCGUGCUUAACACAUGCAAGUCGAACGGAAAGGCCUGCUUUCCCUUGUGGAUUGCGGGUACUCGGGUGGCGAACGGGUGAGUAACACGUGAGUGAUCUGCCCCCAACUUGGGUAUAAGCCUGGGAAACUGGGUCUAAUUCCCGAUAGGACUGCAGGGUGGUGCCUGUGGUGGAAAACGAUUUUCUAGUGGUUGGGGAUGAGCUCGCGGCCUAUCAGCUUGUUGGUGGGGUAAUGGCCUACCAAGGCGGCGACGGGUAGCCGGCCUGAGAGGGUGGACGGCCACAUUGGGACUGAGAUACGGCCCAGACUCCUACGGGAGGCAGCAGUGGGGAAUAUUGCACAAUGGGCGGAAGCCUGAUGCAGCGACGCCGCGUGGGGGAUGACGGCCUUCGGGUUGUAAACUCCUUUCGACCGCGAGGAAGCCACCUGGUUGGAAGGGUGGUGACGGUAGUGGUAGAAGAAGCACCGGCUAACUACGUG